rnacentral:ncRNA from 12 species
CCCGCCCGGGUCCGUGGUUGCGCCGGGUUCCCUCCCGGCAAGCCGAUGCCAGCCGCAGGCGAAACGGCCCACGUAAGGCGACUUCUCGUCGACCGAUCACGGUGCGGCUUAGGAGUAAGUCCUGCCUCGACGGAGGGCCCGAUGCCCUCCACCCCGGGAGAAGGGCAGUAGUGGCAACCAACAUCCCGCCGCGAACCCCUCAGCAGGCGGAUGUGGGGACGAAGACCAGGUCGGCCGGGCGGG